rnacentral:rRNA from 1 species
GGCUGUCCGUCCAGCACGCUCGUCGGCGGCGCUCCAGAUUCGGGCACUUAUCCGACCCGUCUUGAAACACGGACCAAGGAGUCUAGCGUGUGCGCGAGUCAUUGGGUGUACGAAACCUAAAGGCGCAAUGAAAGUGUCAGAGGGCGCUUGCCGCUCUCAGUGGGAGGAUGGGCUCCCGGCCUUCCGGCCGGCGCCCCGCACUCCCGGGGCGUCUCAUUCUCAUUGCGAGUCGAGACGCACCAGGAGCGCACACGCUGGUACCCGAAAGAUGGUGAACUAUGCCUGGCCAGGACGAAGCCAGGGGAAACCCUGGUGGAGGUCCGAAGCGAUUCUGACGUGCAAAUCGAUCGUCUGAGCUGGGUAUAGGGGCGAAAGACCAAUCGAACCAUCUAGUAGCUGGUUCCCUCCGAAGUUUCCCUCAGGAUAGCUGGCUCUCGGGAAGAGAAGAGUCUCAUCCGGUAGAGCGAAUGAUUAGAGG